GACGAACGCUGGCGGCGUGCCUAAUACGUGCAAGUAGAACGCACAGUUUAUACCGUAGCUUGCUACACCAUAGACUGUGAGUUGCGAACGGGUGAGUAACGCGUAGGUAACCUGCCUGGUAGCGGGGGAUAACUAUUGGAAACGAUAGCUAAUACCGCAUAAUAUUAAUUAUUGCAUGAUAAUUAAUUGAAAGGUGCAAUUGCACCACUACCAGAUGGACCUGCGUUGUAUUAGCUAGUAGGUGAGGUAACGGCUCACCUAGGCGACGAUACAUAGCCGACCUGAGAGGGUGAUCGGCCACACUGGUACUGAGACACGGCCCAGACUCCUACGGGAGGCAGCAGUAGGGAAUCUUCGGCAAAGGACGAAAGUCUGACCGAGCAACGCCGCGUGAGUGAAGAAGGUUUUCGGAUCGUAAAGCUCUGUUGUAAGAGAAGAACGGGUGUGAGAGUGGAAAGUUCACACUGUGACGGUAUCUUACCAGAAAGGGACGGCUAACUACGU
rnacentral:rRNA from 1 species